AUGCUCGGCGGGCGGAGCGGCGGCAUGCGGCGGUGUCGGGGCGCGGGGCUGGCGGCGCUGGCCGCGGUGCUGCUCGCGGCUGUGGCCAAAGCCCAGGUGCAGCAGGAGCCAUUCGUAGAGACUACCGAGGGCAGCAGCAUUAAUAUCAACUGCUCACAUCCCACCAAACAGCUCAGCGAUUGGAUCCAUUUCUAUCGUCAGCUCCCGGGCCGAGGACCCGAAUUCCUCGCACUCGCUGCUAGAGGGUCCAAGGCUGUGCCGGACAUCGCAGGAGAGCUGAGGGUGUCGGAGGACGGGCGGAGCAGCGCGCUGUGGCUGCGGCGGCCCCGGCGCGGGGACGCGGCCGUGUAUUACUGCGCGCUGGGCGCACGGGCAGAGGAGCCGGGGCUGCGGCCGGGCACGAACCGCGGCGGAAAUGUCUCUGUUCUAUCCUGCAAGGUCCAUAAGAAGCAGCAUUCUCACAUGGACGUGUAA